CAGAAUCUUCUACCCCUGAUAUCUGAUCACCCUAUCUGGUCAAAUUCUUCAUCUUUGCAAUGUUCUUAUUGCAACAGUCCUCAAUAAAGUCAGACUAAUUUUUUCUUUAACAUGACCCCAAGAAAAAACAGAAUUUAUAAGAUUAAUCUGUAAUAGCUGUUACUAUUCCUAUACAGCAGUAUUAUAAAAGUAGUCCAAAGGGUAUUUGAUAUCUGAUGUAGCACUGUCCAAUAGAUAAAAUACAAGUAGGCAACUUUCUUGUAGCCCAAGAAUUGGAAUUAUAAUCGGAAUUAGAAUAUUUAAACCAAUAUAUCGAAAAUAUUUAUUUUACUUACAUACACCAAAUGUGACUCUUUCAUCUAUGUAUACCCUUGUUUACCUCAACCAACACCCCGGGAAAUGCUAGGACCUAAAUGUGAUCAAUUUUGUUUGCAAUUAUCUCACAAUACAUCCAGGUGAUAAUUCUUAAGAGUCAAAGACGCAGCUAAGAAGGGUGGCAUUACCUGUAGAUUAUUUUCUUCCAUUUUGUUUCGAAGUUUUGUUGAAACAAAAAUGAAGAUUUAUCCUUCAAGCUCUAUUUGAGAGAAUCAGCACUGACUCAGCUGUAAUAAAUACAAAACCGUUUUUGUAAAGCGAUACCUGAAAGAAAUAGCUGCCUAGUUCAGAAGGGAAGAACGAAAGCC
rnacentral:lncRNA from 1 species